rnacentral:rRNA from 1 species
GACGAACGCUGGCGGCGUGCUUAACACAUGCAAGUCGAGCGGAAAGGCCUUUCGGGGUACUCGAGCGGCGAACGGGUGAGUAACACGUGAGCAACCUGCCUCUGACUUUGGGAUAACCCUCGGAAACGGGGGCUAAUACCGGAUAUGACCCGACGGGGCAUCUUGUUGGGUGGAAAGCUUUUGUGGUCAGGGAUGGGCUCGCGGCCUAUCAGCUUGUUGGUGGGGUGAUGGCCUACCAAGGCGGUGACGGGUAGCCGGCCUGAGAGGGCGACCGGCCACACUGGGACUGAGACACGGCCCAGACUCCUACGGGAGGCAGCAGUGGGGAAUAUUGCACAAUGGGCGGAAGCCUGAUGCAGCGACGCCGCGUGAGGGAUGACGGCCUUCGGGUUGUAAACCUCUUUCAGCUCCGACGAAGCGCGAGUGACGGUAGGAGCAGAAGAAGCGCCGGCCAACUACGUGCCAGCCGCCGCAGUAAAAC